ACAUGCAAGUCGCACGGUCAGCAAUGGCAGUGGCGGACGGGUGAGUAACACGUAGGAAUCCAUCCUGGGGUGGGGGACAACAGCGGGAAACUGCUGCUAAUACCGCAUGAUACCUGAGGGUCAAAGGCGCAAGUCGCCUUGGGAGGAGCCUGCGUCUGAUUAGCUUGUUGGUGGGGUAAAGGCCUACCAAGGCGACGAUCAGUAGCUGGUCUGAGAGGAUGAUCAGCCACAUUGGGACUGAGACACGGCCCAAACUCCUACGGGAGGCAGCAGUGGGGAAUAUUGGACAAUGGGGGAAACCCUGAUCCAGCAAUGCCGCGUGUGUGAAGAAGGUCUUCGGAUUGUAAAGCACUUUUGGCAGGGACGAUGAUGACGGUACCUGCAGAAUAAGCCCCGGCUAACUUCGUGCCAGCAGCCGCGGUAAUACGAAGGGGGCUAGCGUUGCUCGGAAUGACUGGGCGUAAAGGGCGCGUAGGCGGCGCGUACAGUCAGAAGUGAAAUUCCUGGGCUCAACCUGGGGACUGCUUUUGAUACGUGCGUGCUUGAGUGAGGAAGAGGGUUGUGGAAUUUCCAGUGUAGAGGUGAAAUUCGUAGAUAUUGGAAAGAACACCGGUGGCGAAGGCGGCAACCUGGUCCUUUACUGACGCUGAGGCGCGAAAGCGUGGGGAGCAAACAGGAUUAGAUACCCUGGUAGUCCACGCUGUAAACGAUGUGUGCUGGAUGUUGGGAAACUUAGUUUUUCAGUGUCGUAGCUAACGCGAUAAGCACACCGCCUGGGGAGUACGGCCGCAAGGUUGAAACUCAAAGGGAAUUGACGGGGGCCCGCACAAGCGGUGGAGCAUGUGGUUUA
rnacentral:rRNA from 1 species